AACUGAACAUGCCUUCAGAUCAGAUCAGUCCUCAACAAUCAGCACUGUAAGUUUUAAAGAUAGCUACAAAGUGUCCAUCUGCAUGUGCCAUUUUCUAUAUUCAUUCGGUGAUUCCACAAGCCAAUUAACUUAAGUGAUGCUCCUAUCAUAGAAAACUGAAUUGAUGAGAGGAAUCUGCAAAACCUAAAGGUGUUGCAACCUCCUGCCCUCAAGAACAAAGUUUGAACAGGUGAUGCAAACAUUCAUUCAGGAGAGAAAAUCUGACAAACAUUCAGGUGUACAUAGCGCUCAAAGUUUCCUCUAACACAUAUAUCUGAAAUUUAUACUGCUGGAGAUGGGAUGGAGACUUGCCCGUGCCGGAGCCUCCGACUUGCUGGAGUUGGAGCCUUGGAGGCGUUGAGCCCCUGAACUGAUGGAGACGUCGCUGCUGCUGUCGGAGACGCCGUUAAUGGAUAUUGGAGCAGCCGCCGCCGCCGCCAUUUUGACAUUUUGACAUAUCAUGUACUAACUCCAACUGACAAAAUAAGAUGUUGGGCCUAGGUUUCUGCCGUAGAUAUUCUGGCUUGUAACUCCACAAUGACUGACUGACUGGUACAGCAACUAACUAACCCCCACGUACAGUCUAACUGGGUGUGCAGCUACUACUAACAUUAGCUAUUAAUCAGCAUAUUCUCUCUAACGUGCAAACCUUGGACAAUAGUUAUUCUUUUAUGUUUCUAUUAUAAAAUCCUGGCAUGCAAUACCCAUAGUCAAUAAAAAAAUGAUGUUAAAGUCAA
rnacentral:lncRNA from 1 species